UACCUUCUGAAUUGGUCUGUUACCUGGAGGAGGUGGCCAUCUCCCUGGAAGCCUUGUGCCUCUGUCCUUUCCCCUCUGUCUGCUAACUGACCUUCAUUCCUGCAUGAAGCAUCACUUCAUCACUUUCAGUUUCUUUUGCCACAUACUAUGGACACACUUGCUUCACUCUUGUCUAAUUUCACACCAACUAAAAUACCUGUAGCAUUUAAUACCAUGCUCCAGAUCACUUAUCCCACAAUAUGCUGUUGAAAAUGAGCUGGUUGCUGAAGAAAAAUAGUUUAGCAAGCACUUACUGGCUCAUGAAAUAUCAGUAUGUACUUUUUCUGCUGACUAAAAUGCAUUGCAUGGGACACAGGUAUGCUCAAAGGGUUAGUAAAAGCUAUGGAGCCUGUUACAGCUAGAGGUCACCACUUUGCAUCCAGUCCAGGAUGGUACUGAUGGACAGAAAGGUUACUUUUUGACAGCUGUUCAGUAGACUGUUUGAAAUGAGUGAGCUCUUUGUCCAGUUAUGUUAGACAAGCAUCCAUAUCACCCACCACUUCAUUUAACAUUGUGUAGCCCUUUUACUGGUGGUAUUGAAAGACGUGAAGGCUCGAAUGGGCCUGGAGACUGAACUCAUUCUUAGCAAUGCUCCUUUUAGUUCAGGGUUAAAAGUACAUUCAUGGCACAAGGUAGAGGAAACUUGUAUUGUUGCUGCCUGAGAAUCAACAAACAUUGGUUUCUAGGCCCUUACAAAAGCACUACACUGAUUUCCAAAAAAAAAAAAAAAAAGCCAUUGCAUUAUGGGAUUUUAAUUGCACUAUAAAAGUCUAUGGUAUCCCAAAGAUACUUCUGUUUGCAUUGUUUCUGACUCAUGGAUGAACAGUUUUAGUUCUGAACUACAGAACUGCAGGGUUCACUGAGGCAUUAUGGUCUAGAUAAUAGUCCUGCCAAGAGUGCAGGGGACUGGACUAGAUGACUUCUCAAGGUCUUUUCCAGCCCUGUGAUUCUAUGAUUAUAUACCUUUUUAUGAAAACAUUGAAAUGUGAAACAGAUAAGUACGCUAUAUUCCAGCGGUUCUCAAACUGUGGGUUGGGAUCCCAAAUUGGGUUGCGACACCAUUUUAAUGGGGUCACCAGGGCUGGCUUAGACUUGCUGGAGCCCAGGGCCAAAGUCCGAGCCUGAGGGCUUCAGCCCUGGGCAGCGGGGUUAAGGUUACCGAUCCCCAGUCUGAGGCCGAAGUCCCCCUCUCCUGGGGUCCUGCAGUAAUUUUUGUUGUCAGAAGGAGACUGCGGUGCAGUGAAAUUUGAGAACCCCUGCUAUAUUCUCAUCCUUGUUAUACACUAUUCCACUGCAGUCUUAAAUCCAACCCAAUGUGAGGACAAUUAAUAGAAGCACAGAAUGAAGUAUCCUCACUACAAAAUCACAAGAUUAGGGAUGGUUGGCUAAUUGAACAAUCUGAUACAGUAGACUGGUCAUGCCUGAUUUCUUUUUUAUAGACUUUACAUUUUGUGUGGGAUCUUAGAAAUAUUUCUAUGUAUCCAAAAAAUUGCAGAAUAAUGCCAUCUGAACCAGCCCCAACUACAAGGUAACCAUUGUAAAAGAACUGUGCUUUUAGCAAAUAGAUUCUUGCUAUACACGUUUGUUCAGCAUAUUUCAGAAUAAGUUAUUUUAAAACUGAUAUCUUUUACACACUCUUUGAGCAAGAUGAAACAUUUGCAUAAGUGAAUGAUAGCUGAAUCACCCUGGGGUCUUCACAGUGAGUGAUUUGCAUUUCUCAUCUGCAGCUUGGAUCCACAGUUAAGUGUCUUUAAUAGAUGUAACUAUCAUCGCUAUAUACUCCUUAAUACAUUUGUAUUCUUCCUAUACUUUUAUAUUUUAUACAAAUACAUUUAUCGGUAGUUUUGACAGAACCCAUUUUGUAGUAUUGUGUGUUAUUGAUUUAAGCUCCACUCUUCAUUAUUAAAGCAGGACUUUCACAGGAGCAAACUAAAGGAGAAAAGCAUUAAAAGAUGACUUUUUAAAACAAGCCUAUUUUUGGAGAUAUCUUCCUUUAAAAAGACCUUCUCUCCUUUUUUUUAGCUCAACUGUUCCAUGAGUCUGCCGCAGUGAAAUCACAGUCCUGUAGCUGACGCUGUAUCAGUCUGUUUCUUUGGCAGCUAUGCAGUGUCUCAAGUCAAGCUUUUAUUAUUUAACAGUUGAAUUGUGAGGAAUAGAGUUUUGUAUAUCAACAUUUUGAGGAUUCAUUGCCUUUCAGAUGCUUAUUUUUCAGCCAGAUAUUUGUUUUCCUCAGCACGAAAGUCCCUCUUUAAAACCUCAGAAAAUAAAUUAAUUCUGACUACAAGUGAUAUGGCAACUUCUGCCCAAUCUGAAAAAUACUUAAUUUACAUGCAGUAGUAGCAGACGAUAAAUCGUUAAGUGACUGUUUUCCUUCACAGUAAAGUGUGAAUUGCCAAUUUGGGUACAGUUGAUUUAUCACUGGAACUAAAAACUUUCUCAGAUUUGUGUGUGCGUGUGGGGAGGGGUGGAGGUGUUUAAUCCUACUUUACACAUCUCUAAUUCCAAUAGUAAGGCUAAGUCCUGGUUUUUUAACUGGCUGUUUUUGUUUGUGACCAGAGUGUUCAGCUUUGCCAUUUAGCAAACCGUUUCUAUCUGUGUACCAUCUGAUAAAUAAAUAAAUGCCAUACAAAUGCUAUUACGUACAGCUUUAUAUUGUCAGAGUAUGCCUAGCAUUGUUUUCAGAUUCUCUUCUCUAGUUCCCUUACUAGAUGUAAUAAAAAACACCACAAUUUAGUUUUCUUUCUAUGCAAGGUAGCUGUAAAUUGGAUAGUUUGAGUUUGAGUUGUUCAGAGCAGGGACUGUCCUUCAGUGUUUGGAAAGCACCUCGCACAUGAGGGUACCUCUGUAAAUAAGAAUAAUAGAAAGGGUUGUCCAUCAGGCUUAGCCUAAUUUAUGCCUGUUAUAAUGGACAGUGCAUGUUAAGUAUGCUGAUUUGAGCCUUCCUUUAAAAUCCAUUUCUGGAGAUUCCCUUGAUCUUCACUCUGUUUUUCUAAUAAAGAUCAGUGGGAGGUUUAUGUGACUGCGAAUGAGGAAAUCCCAUAGCAUUGUUGGGGUUGGGUUUUACUUCCAGGAUCUGCACUGUGCAGUAAAAGACAAACUUCAGAGUAACAUUAAUGUAGCAUGUUUAUAAGUGGGAAGGGUAUAAUUACCUCUUCAAGAAAAAUGAGUACUAAUGUAGAAUGCCCUGGCUUGGGCAUCACUGAGGGGAGUUGUAGUUGGUAAGUUGCUCCAUCUUUGCUGUUCUUUGGUGUCAGGCCCAGAAGACAAGAAUAAGUAAUGCAGGGAUGCUGUUGAGGAAGGAGGGAGAGAGCUCCAGAGUAUACUUUCCUUUCUUGCUUUUGCAUUAUGUUUUCCAGUCCCAUGGAAUUAUUCCCAAGUUGCAAACUUUCCAUGGAUAUUAAUUCCUGGGAUUGGCGUGGUAGUGAGGUAUUCAGAACAAAAAUCCAUUGGGAUGAAUAUUCCCUGGGUAUAAAUUAUACCAGGAGCUCACAAAGUGGUAGAAUAACUUGUUACCUGAAAGAUUACAUGGAAUCUAAUGAGAAACUUCCUGAGUUUAGAAGACCAUGUGAUGGCACCUCAAGGGAUACAAAUCCUGAGUCAUAAGAAUACAAGUAAACUCAGUUAUUGUGUCCCUCUG